rnacentral:rRNA from 1 species
AUUGAACGCUGGCGGCAGGCCUAACACAUGCAAGUCGAACGGUAACAGGAAGAAGCUUGCUUCUUUGCUGACGAGUGGCGGACGGGUGAGUAAUGUCUGAGAAACUGCCUGAUGGAGGGGGAUAACUACUGGAAACGGUAGCUAAUACCGCAUAACGUCGCAAGACCAAAGAGGGCGACCUUCGGGCCUCUUGCCAUCGGAUGUGCCCAGAUGGGAUUAGCUAGUAGGUGGGGUAACGGCUCACCUAGGCGACGAUCCCUAGCUGGUCUGAGAGGAUGACCCGCCCCACUGGAACUGGGCACCGGUCCAGACCCCCUGGGGGGGCAGAGGGGGGGAAUUUUGCCCAAGGGGCGAAAGCCUGCGGCAGCCCUGCCGGGUUGAUGAAGAAGGCCUUCGGGUUGUAAAGUUCUUUCCGGGGGGGGGAAGGGAGUAAAGUUAAUACCUUGGCUCAUUGCCGUUCCCCGCAAAAGAAGCCCCGGCUAACCCCGU